rnacentral:rRNA from 1 species
AUAUUGCACAAUGGGGGAAACCCUGAUGCAGCGACGCCGCGUGAGCGAAGAAGUAUCUCGGUAUGUAAAGCUCUAUCAGCAGGGGAGAAAAUGACGGUACCUGACUAAGAAGCACCGGCUAAAUACGUGCCAGCCGCCGCGGUAAUACGUAUGGUGCAAGCGUUAUCCGGAUUUACUGGGUGUAAAGGGAGCGUAGACGGAUAGGCAAGUCUGGAGUGAAAACCCAGGGCUCAACCCUGGGACUGCUUUGGAAACUGCAGAUCUGGAGUGCCGGAGAGGUAAGCGGAAUUCCUAGUGUAGCGGUGAAAUGCGUAGAUAUUAGGAGGAACACCAGUGGCGAAGGCGGCUUACUGGACGGUGACUGACGUUGAGGCUCGAAAGCGUGGGGAGCAAACAG